CAAUAGCGUAUAUUAAAGUUGUUGCGGUUAAAAGCUCGUAGUUGGAUUUCUGUCGAGGGUGGCCGGUCCGCUUUUCGAGCGUGUAUCUGGUUCGGCCUUGGCAUCCUCUUGGGGAACGUAUCUGUGCUUGAUUGCAUGGUGCGGUAUUCAAGACUUUUACUUUGAGGAAAUUAGAGUGUUCACUGCAAGCGUUAGCUUUGAAUACAUUAGCAUGGAAUAAUAAUAUAGGACCUUGGUACUAUUUUGUUGGUUUCUAGAACUAAGGUAAUGAUUAAUAGGGACAAUUGGGGGCAUUCGUAUUAACACGUCAGAGGUGGAAUUCUUAGAUUGUGUUACGACGAACUACUGCGAAAGCAUUUGCCAAGGAUGUUUUCAUUGAUCAAGAACGAAAGUAUGGGGAUCGAAGAUGAUUAGAUACCAU
rnacentral:rRNA from 1 species